GAUGAACGCUAGCGGGAGGCUUAACACAUGCAAGUCGCGGGGCAGCAUGAUGUAGCAAUACAUUGAUGGCGACCGGCGCACGGGUGAGUAACGCGUAUGCAACCUGCCCAGUACAGGGGGAUAGCCCGGAGAAAUUCGGAUUAAUACCCCAUAAUGAUAAGAGAUGGCAUCAUUUUUUAUUUAAAGUUACGGCGGUACUGGAUGGGCAUGCGUGACAUUAGCUAGUUGGUAGGGUAACGGCCUACCAAGGCAUCGAUGUCUAGGGGUCCUGAGAGGGUGAUCCCCCACACUGGUACUGAGACACGGACCAGACUCCUACGGGAGCAGCAGUGAGGAAUAUUGGUCAAUGGGCGCAAGCCUGAACCAGCCAUCCCGCGUGAAGGAAGAAUGCGCUAUGCGUUGUAAACUUCUUUUCCAGGGAAUAAAAUUUCGUACGAGUACGGGACUGGAACGGUACCUUGGGAAUAAGCAUCGGCUAACUCCGUGCCAGCAGCCGCGGUAAUC
rnacentral:rRNA from 1 species